AGAGAGAUAAAGAUAACCAGAGAGAGCUUCAGUGGAGGAAAUAGCUUGAAGUUGCAAACAAGGGCCACAGGGCAGGUGACUACAUGGGGUCGCCAAGAGAGUGGUGCUGAUACAGAAGAGAAGGGGAGAGAAUGAGCCCUCAGACACUUGAACCUUUAAAAAAUAGGAAGAAGAGGAACCACUAAAAUAAAUCUUGUAACCGAAACCAGUAGAAAAUUAUGUAGUAAUAGCAGAAGGAAAAUCAGCAGAGGAGUCAAGGAAGUCAGAUGACAAGUGACAAGAAGGAGCAAAAGAGGAACUGGGCAAAGACCUGUGAAGGAAGAGCUGGACAGAACUGCCCAUUGGCUUUGCCCCCGUGGAGGGGGUCCUUGGUGAACGUGGCACAAACAACUUCAGUAAAACCCUGGGGACAAAGACCACACUGCAGUGAAUUCAAGAGCAAACAGGAGGACAGGAAUCAAAGGCAACAAGCCUCAACACCUUUUCUGAACACAUUUUUCCCUAAGGGAAACAAAGAAAUAGGGCGUAAGUUGAGUCUUCGUCUUCACUUCAGAGAAUUUUCAUAGCAACCAGAACAAUGCAGUCACUCACAAAUGGUCUUGAGUGAAUAAAGAAAGAAAACAGAGACCA